rnacentral:snRNA from 1 species
AGCUUUGCACAGUGGCCGUAUCAUAGCCAGUGAAGUUUAUCCAAGACAAGAUUUUUGCUAAUUGAAAAUUUAGUUUUCAAUAAUUAUAGCUUUUUCUAAAGAAUUCUGCUUCUGGCAAAAUAGUAUUAUU